UAACGUAGGGUCCGAGUGCGUUGUCCGGAAUUAUUGGGCGUAAAGAGCUCGUAGGCGGCUUGUCACGCGGGUGUGAAAAGCCCGGGGCUUAACCCCGGGUCUGCAUUCGAUACGGGCUAGCUAGAGUGUGGUAGGGGAGAUCGGAAUUCCUGGUGUAGCGGUGAAAUGGCGCAGAUAUCAGGAGGAACACCGGUGGCGAAGGCGGAUCUCUGGGCCAUUACUGACGCUGGAGGAGCGAAAGCGUGGGGAGCAACAGG
rnacentral:rRNA from 1 species